rnacentral:rRNA from 1 species
UACGUAGGUGGCAAGCGUUGUCCGGAUUUACUGGGCGUAAAGAGCGCGCAGGCGGUCGUUCAAGUCGCGUGUGAAAGCCCCCGGCUCAACUGGGGAGGGUCACGCGAUACUGAUCGACUCGAAGGCAGGAGAGGGUAGUGGAAUUCCCGGUGUAGUGGUGAAAUGCGUAGAUAUCGGGAGGAACACCAGUGGCGAAGGCGGCGACCUGGUCCGUGACUGACGCUGAGGCGCGAAAGCGUGGGGAGCAAACAGG